AACGGUAAUGGAGGCUUCUAAAUUGCUGUGGACUGCUACGAAUUGGGUGAUAGAGAGGAAUCACGAGAAGGAGAAGAUGAAGAAAGAGAUGGAGAGGAAAGUAGAGGAAAUAAAGAAGCUUGGAGAGAAAGUAAGAGAAGAUGAAAAAGAGAAGGAGAGGAAAGAGGAGGAAAUAAAGAAGCUUGGAGAGAAAGUAAGAGAAGAUGAAAAGGAGAAGGAGAGGAAAGAAGAGGAAAUAAAGAAGCUUGGAGAAAAAGUAAGAGAGGAUGAAAAGGAGAAGGAGAAAAAAGAAGAGGAGAUAAAGAAGCUUGGAGAAAAAUUAAGGGAAGAUGAAAAGGAGAAGGAGAGGAUGAAGGAGACUUUGGUUGGACUUGGAGAAGAGAAAAGAGAAGCAAUAAGGCAAUUAU
rnacentral:lncRNA from 1 species